rnacentral:rRNA from 1 species
GUACUACUCUCAGAGUUUGAUCCUGGCUCAGGAUGAACGCUAGCGGCAGGCUUAACACAUGCAAGUCGAGGGGCAGCGUGAUGAAGUAGCAAUACUGAUUUGACGGCGACCGGCGCACGGGUGCGUAACGCGUAUGCAACCUACCCAUAACAGGGGGAUAACACUGAGAAAUUGGUACUAAUACCCCAUAACAGUUUAGAAGGCAUCUUCUAGAUUUGAAAGUUCAGGCGGUUAUGGAUGGGCAUGCGUUGUAUUAGCUAGAUGGUGAGGUAACGGCUCACCAUGGCGACGAUACAUAGGGGGACUGAGAGGUUAACCCCCCACACUGGUACUGAGACACGGACCAG